rnacentral:rRNA from 1 species
UACAGAGGUCCCAAGCGUUGUUCGGAUUCACUGGGCGUAAAGGGUGCGUAGGUGGCUACUUUAAGUUUGAUGUGAAAGCUCCGGGCUCAACCCGGAAAUGGCAUUGAAGACUAUUGAGCUAGAGGUUUGGAGGGGGGACUGGAAUGCUUGGUGUAGCAGUGAAAUGCGUAGAUAUCAAGCGGAACACCGGUGGCGAGGGCGAGUCCCUGGACAACACCUGACACUGAGGCACGAAAGCUAGGGGAGCAAACAGG